UGAUGCUUUUGACUACUGGGGUAAAGGGACUCAAGUCACCGUUUCAAGUGAUGUGCAAAUGGCCCCAUCCUCCCUACUUACAUUCAGGCAAUGUGGAGACAAAGUCAGUAACGAAUACAUUCUUGGCUGUCUUGCUACGGGCUUUAGUCCGAGCACUGUGACAUUCAAAUGGACAAGUGGAGGAAGUGACCUGACGGACUUUGUUCAAUACCCCGCUGUCCAGAGUGAAGGAAAGUACAUGGGAGUUAGUCAUGUUCGCAUCCCACAGAACACCUGGGACAACACCAAGACUGUCCAAUGUGCCGUAGAGAAUCUAGGUGGUAGCAAAUCAGUCACCAUCGAUAAAAUAGUGGUCAAGUCUCCCACAGUGACUUUGAUGGCCGUAUCAAGUGGAAGCACCCAAUACUUGGUGUGUAUGAUCGAAGGUUUUGCUCCAGACAACUUCACAGUCAAGUGGAAGCAUAACAACAAUGUUGUUGAUGGGACAACAUGGCCUGGAGUAAAGAAGCUCGGGCGCUACUCUGCCAACAGUUUCCUGAAGGUCGAUGUGAGAGACUGGAAGAACAAGCCCGAAUACACUUGUGAAGUUGACCACUAUGGAAAAACCAUUACUGAGAAGAUCACUAAUGUUCACUGCCCCUCUCUUAAAAAUGGAGACUCCUCAACACGUGGUGGAGAACUUCCUACAGUUUCUGUCAACCUCCCCUCAGAGGAAGAGCAGAAAUCGAAUCAAAAGGACGUGACUCUGGCUUGCCUGAUGACCAGCUCUUCUCCAUGUGACUACCAAAUCAAGUGGAAGGAGAACGAAGGAAAAUACCAGGAUGGAAUUACCAGCCCUCCUCAGAAAAUCCUUAAUGGCUCCAAGUAUUUGGUUACCAGUGUUUUAACCAUAAGCAAGGAUAAGUGGGAAAAAGAAGACCUGCAUGUGACCUGCACUGCCCUUAAUGGCUCAGAUGACAACUCUGUCCCAAUUCAGAAAACAGUGUCCAAAGCUCAGGCUCCAGAACCCGAGACAGGCUUUGCACUAAGCUGCAGAGAAGAAGGGGAUGAAGAUGAUGAAUUCAAGAGCCUCUGGUCCACUACCUCCACCUUCAUCUUUCUCUUCCUCCUCUCCUUCACUUACAGUAUGCUAUUCAGUCUUGCCAAGAUGAAGUGAAUUUGGAGGGGAUGGUCAUGUGCACUGUCCAGGAUAUCAGUCUUUUAUCACUCGAUGUACAGUACAUAAUGCAAUAUAUCAACAUGAGGUUUUUAUGUUAUGUUUUUACGUGUGUUGCUGGCAGAAUGGAGCACUUUACUGAAUGUCAUCUGUGUAUACAACUGGAUGAUAACUUUUUUUUAUUUGUAAGAGAUGUUUGCUUCACCAUCUAUGUGUGCAAUUCUUUGAUGCCUUUCUUCUUUUGAUGCUUUAAAACAAUCUUGAUUUAAGCAGCGCAAUAUUCUAUGCCUUG